rnacentral:rRNA from 1 species
CCUACGGGAGGCAGCAGUGAGGAAUAUUGGUCAAUGGGAGAGAUCCUGAACCAGCCAAGCCGCGUGAGGGAAGAAGGCCCUAUGGGUUGUAAACCUCUUUUGUCGGAGAACAAAACCCGGGACGAGUCCCGGACUGCGUGUAACCGAAGAACAAGCAUCGGCUAACUCAGUGCCAGCAGCCGCGGUAAUACGGAGGAUGCGAGCGUUAUCCGGAUUUAGUGGGUUUAAAGGGUGCGUAGGCGGUCGUUUAAGUCAGUGGUAAAAGUGCGGGGCUCAACCCCGUCGAGCCGUUGAAACUGGCAGACGUGAGUUGGCGAGAAGGACGCGGAAGUCGCGGUUGAGCGGUGAAAUGCAUAGAUAUCGCGCAGAACUCCGGUUGCGAAGGCAGCGUACCGGCGCCAGACUGACGCUGGGGCACGAAAGCGUGGGGAUCGAACAGGAUUAGAUACCCGAGUAGUC